CGGAAUCGCUAGUAAUCGCGGAUCAGCACGCCGCGGUGAAUACGUUCCCGGGCCUUGUACACACCGCCCGUCACACCACGAGAGUUUGUAACACCCGAAGUCGGUGAGGUAACCUUUUUGGAGCCAGUCGCCUAAGGUGGGAUAGAUGAUUGGGGUGAAGUCGUAACAAGGUAGCCGUAUCGGAAGGUGCGGCUGGAUCACCUCCUUU
rnacentral:rRNA from 1 species